rnacentral:rRNA from 1 species
AUGAAGCAUUUAUUUCCAUUCCUGCAGACAACUGCAAGGAGCGAGGGAUUCAAUGUUGUGCUCAAGAAGUACGUGAACCCCAACAACUCAUUGAUUGAAUUCGCAACUCAAUACACUGCAAUCCAGGAGAAAGUAAUGGUGGCUGUGGCGAAAGAGCAAGUGGACACAAUUUACAAAGAGGCAGACAUGUAUUCGUUGAACCCAAUCGAGUUACAGAUGCGAGGGAUAUACACACACAAUCUGUUCUCCAAGUUCCAGGUAGAGAUGAAGCUAAAGACUGCUUACAGAUGCGACACUUUGCAAGAUGGAACCUUCAGGAUGUGGUCCCUCCGAGGCAUACUACCAAAGUAUGGGGAUAGGGACUACCAUGUGCAGGCGAACAAGGAUGAAGGGGUAUACUCGUGCACUUGCUGCAAGUUUGAUCGCGAUGGGCUAUUAUGCGCACACAUACUACGAGUAAUGGAACAGAUUGGAGUCUACGAGAUACCAAGGAGGUAUAUCCUGGAUAGGUGGACAUGGGAUCCAGAAGAGGAUCUUGUUCAGCCUGAUUACCAACAGCCAACCGUUAAGAAGGGUAUGACAGAGAAAGAAAAAAUAUCAUGA